UACGUAGGCAGCGAGCGUUGUUCGGAAUUACUGGGCGUAAAGGGUGUGUAGGCGGUUCUUUAAGUUUGGUGUGAAAUCUCCCGGCUCAACCGGGAGGGUGCGCCGAAUACUGGAGGGACUAGAGUGUGGGAGAGGAAAGUGGAAUUCCUGGUGUAGCGGUGAAAUGCGUAGAUAUCAGGAGGAACACCGGUGGUGUAGACGGCUUUCUGGACCAUAACUGACGCUGAGACACGAAAGCGUGGGUAGCAAACAGG
rnacentral:rRNA from 1 species